UGGAGAUAGUGGCGCACGGGUGCGUAACGCGUACCAACCUACCACAUCUGGGGGAUAGCCCGCCGAAAGGCGGAUUAAUACCGCAUAAGCUACUUGGCCGGCAUCGGUUGGAUAGUAAAGAUUUAUUUGGAUGUGGAUGGGGUUGCGUGCCAUUAGCU
rnacentral:rRNA from 1 species